GUCCACGCCCUAAACGAUGGCAACUGGGUGUUGGGGAAGCGAUUCCUUGGUACCGCAGCUAACGCGUGAAGUUGCCCGCCUGGGGAGUACGGCCGCAAGGUUAAAACUCAAAGGAAUUGACGGGGACCCGCACAAGCGGUGGAUGAUGUGGAUUAAUUCGAUGCAACGCGAACAACCUUACCUACCCUUGACAUGUCCGAGAGCCCGCUGAGAGGUGGGUGUGCCCGAAAGGGAAUUGGAACACAGGUGCUGCAUGGCUGUCGU
rnacentral:rRNA from 1 species